GAGCUUUUUUUCUAUUUAGUUAGGAUGGCUUGAGGUCUCAUAUGGUUGAGUGCUA
rnacentral:rRNA from 1 species